CGGACGGUCGCAGAGACGCGACCUUCUCUUCGGAGCUUGGAACACAGGUGCUGCAUGGCUGCUCGUCAGCUCGUGUCGUGAGAUGUUGGGUUAAGUCCCGCAACGAGCGCAACCCUCGUCCCUAGUUGCCAUCAUUUAGUUGGGCACUCUAGGGAGACUGCCGGUGAUAAGCCGCGAGGAAGGUGGGGAUGACGUCAAGUCCUCAUGGCCCUUACGGGCUGGGCUACACACGUGCUACAAUGGCGGUGACAAUGGGCAGCGAACCAGCAAUGGGGAGCUAAUCUCAAAAAGCCGUCUCAGUUCGGAUUGCACUCUGCAACUCGAGUGCAUGAAGUUGGAAUCGCUAGUAAUCGUGGAUCAGCAUGCCACGGUGAAUACGUUCCCGGGCCUUGUACACACCGCCCGUCACACCAUGGGAGUUGGUUUUACCUUAAGACGGUGCGCUAACCGCAAGGAAGCAGCCG
rnacentral:rRNA from 1 species